rnacentral:rRNA from 1 species
GACGAACGCUGGCGGCGUGCUUAACACAUGCAAGUCGAACGGAAAGGCCCUGCUUUUGUGGGGUGCUCGAGUGGCGAACGUGUGAGUAACACGUGAUUAACCUGCCCUUGACUUUGGGAUAACUUCAGGAAACUGGUGCUAAUACCGGAUAGGAGCUCCUGCUGCAUGGUGUGGGUUGUAAAGUUUCGGCGGUUGGGGAUGGACUCGCGGCUUAUCAGCUUGUUGGUGGGGUAGUGGCUUACCAAGGCUUUGACGGGUAGCCGGCCUGAGAGGGUGACCGGCCACAUUGGGACUGAGAUACGGCCCAGACUCCUACGGGAGGCAGCAGUGGGGAAUAUUGCACAAUGGGCGGAAGCCUGAUGCAGCAACGCCGCGUGAGGGAUGACGGCCUUCGGGUUGUAAACCGCUUUCGCCUGUGACGAAGCGUGAGUGACGGUAAUGGGUAAAGAAGCACCGGCUAACUACGUG